rnacentral:rRNA from 1 species
AGAGUUUGAUCCUGGCUCAGGAUGAACGCUGGCGGCGUGCCUAACACAUGCAAGUCGAGCGAUUCUCUUCGGAGAAGAGCGGCGGACGGGUGAGUAACGCGUGGGUAACCUGGCCUGUACACACGGAUAACAUACCGAAAGGUAUGCUAAUACGGGAUAAUAUAUAAGAGUCGCAUGACUUUUAUAUCAAAGAUUUUUCGGUACAGGAUGGACCCGCGUCUGAUUAGCUUGUUGGCGGGGUAACGGCCCACCAAGGCGACGAUCAGUAGCCGACCUGAGAGGGUGAUCGGCCACAUUGGAACUGAGACACGGUCCAAACUCCUACGGGAGGCAGCAGUGGGGAAUAUUGCACAAUGGGCGCAAGCCUGAUGCAGCAACGCCGCGUGAGCGAUGAAGGCCUUCGGGUCGUAAAGCUCUGUCCUCAAGGAAGAUGAUGACGGUACUUGAGGAGGAAGCCCCGGCUAAAUACGUGCCUGCAGCCGCGGUAAUACGUAUGUCGCAAGCGUUAUCCGGAUUUAUUGGGCGUAAAGCGCGUCUAGGCGGUUUGGUAAGUCUGAUGUGAAAAUGCGGGGCUCAACUCCGUAUUGCGUUGGAAACUGCCAAACUAGAGUACUGGAGAGGUAGGCGGAACUACAAGUGUAGAGGUGAAAUUCGUAGAUAUUUGUAGGAAUGCCGAUGGGGAAGCCAGCCUACUGGACAGAUACUGACGCUAAAGCGCGAAAGCGUGGGUAGCAAACAAGAUUAGAUACCCUGGUAGUCCACGCCGUAAACGAUGAUUACUAGGUGUUGGGGGUCGAACCUCAGCGCCCAAGCUAACGCGAUAAGUAAUCCGCCUGGGGAGUACGUACGCAAGUAUGAAACUCAAAGGAAUUGACGGGGACCCGCACAAGCGGUGGAGCAUGUGGUUUAAUUCGACGCAACGCGAGGAACCUUACCAGCGUUUGACAUCCCAAGAAGUUAACAGAGAUGUUUUCGUACCUCUUCGGAGGAACUUGGUGACAGGUGGUGCAUGGCUGUCGUCAGCUCGUGUCGUGAGAUGUUGGGUUAAGUCCCGCAACGAGCGCAACCCCUUUCGUAUGUUACCAUCAUUAAGUUGGGGACUCAUGCGAGACUGCCUGCGAUGAGCAGGAGGAAGGUGGGGAUGACGUCAAGUCAUCAUGCCCCUUAUACGCUGGGCUACACACGUGCUACAAUGGGUAGUACAGAGAGUCGCUAACCCGCGAGGGCAAGCUAAUCUCAUAAAACUAUUCUUAGUUCGGAUUGUACUCUGCAACUCGAGUACAUGAAGUUGGAAUCGCUAGUAAUCGCAAAUCAGCUAUGUUGCGGUGAAUACGUUCUCGGGUCUUGUACUCACCGCCCGUCA